rnacentral:rRNA from 1 species
GACGAACGCUGGCGGCGUGCCUAAUACAUGCAAGUUGAGCGCUGAAGGUUGGUACUUGUACCGACUGGAUGAGCAGCGAACGGGUGAGUAACGCGUGGGGAAUCUGCCUUUGAGCGGGGGACAACAUUUGGAAACGAAUGCUAAUACCGCAUAAAAACUUUAAACACAAGUUUUAAGUUUGAAAGAUGCAAUUGCAUCACUCAAAGAUGAUCCCGCGUUGUAUUAGCUAGUUGGUGAGGUAAAGGCUCACCAAGGCGAUGAUACAUAGCCGACCUGAGAGGGUGAUCGGCCACAUUGGGACUGAGACACGGCCCAAACUCCUACGGGAGGCAGCAGUAGGGAAUCUUCGGAAAUGGACGAAAGUCUGACCGAGCAACGCCGGGUGAGUGAAGAAGGUUUUCGGAUCGUAAAACUCGGUUGGUAGAGAAGAACGUUGGUGAGAGUGGAAAGCUCAUCAAGUGACGGUAACUACCCAGAAAGGGACGGCUAACUACGUG